rnacentral:misc_RNA from 1 species
GUGAAUCAUCGAAUCUUUGAACGCAAAUUGCACUCUCUUCGGAGAGCAUGCCUGUUUGAGGGUCAGCCUAUAAAAAAUCGACAUCGUUGCUGUUUCGCGGUGGCGUUCGUCGGGAAUUGGGUCAUCUUCAAUCUUUUGGUUUUAAGCGACUUAAGAUUUUCUUUUUGGUUCCAUGAACGUUUCUAAGAUUUAUUUCGUUACACGUUUAUGGUAUCGGUUUUUAUUAGACGUUACUAUUAUUUCGUACCG